UACGUAGGGGGCAAGCGUUGUCCGGAAUCAUUGGGCGUAAAGAGCGCGUAGGCGGCCCUGUAAGUCCGCUGUGAAAGUCAAGGGCUCAACCCUUGAAUGCCGGUGGAUACUGCAGGGCUAGAGUCCGGAAGAGGCGAGUGGAAUUCCUGGUGUAGCGGUGAAAUGCGUAGAUAUCGGGAGGAACACCAGUGGCGAAGGCGACCAUCUGGACGGAUACGUGACGCUGAGAC
rnacentral:rRNA from 1 species